rnacentral:misc_RNA from 1 species
UCCGAGUUGACCCCGGCAGUCUCCUAUGAGUCCCCACCAUAACGUGCUGGCAACAUAGAACGAGGGUUGCGCUCGUUGCGGGACUUAACCCAACAUCUCACGACACGAGCUGACGACAGCCAUGCAGCAUCUGUGGCGCACCCUCGAAGGUCACACGUUUCCGUGCGCUUGCAGCGCCAUGUCAAGCCCAGGUAAGGUGGGGAUGACGUCUUGGAAGCAAGCU